rnacentral:sRNA from 1 species
ACGGUCGACUUGCGAGGAUAUCUCUCAAACGGAGCAUGCAGAGGUAGGAGCGGCGAUGCUGAAAACCGAUACCCGCCAAGCGAAUUGGCGCCGUGCCAAUCCAGGGAAAUACGAUGCUCAUCUCGCUGUGCAGCGAGCAGUGAAGGCAGGCGAACUGGAAAAGCAAACGUGCGAGGUCUGCGGGAUCGAAGCGGUCGAUGCCCAUCACGAUCAAUACGACGAGCCUUUAAAGGUGCGGUGGCUUUGCCGCCGACAUCACACGAGGCUUCAUCACUACGGCGAAGACAUGUUUCCGAUCAGGGAUGCACUUUAGAGAUCCCCGGAGCUGAAUUACGGCGGGGCAAGUUGGUCUUGCCGUCAGCGCGGCUGGAUCACGAUCAGCGAAUGUAAUUACGACGUUCUGGAACGAUCGUACUACCUCGAUUCCGGACAAGAACCGGUU